AGAGUUUGAUCCUGGCUCAGAGCGAACGUUAGCGGCGGGCCUAACACAUGCAAGUCGAACGAGAAUGUAGGCUUCGGUCUACUAGUAAAGUGGCGGACGGGUGCGUAACACGUAGGUAAUCUACCUUCCGGCGGGGGACAACAGUCCGAAAGGAUUGCUAAUACCGCAUACGUCGGCGAGGUCUUCGGAUCUUGUCGGGAAAGAUGGCCUCUCCUUGGAAGCUGUCACCGGAAGAUGAACCUGCGGCCCAUCAGCUAGUUGGUGAGGUAACGGCUCACCAAGGCUAAGACGGGUAGCUGGUCUGAGAGGAUGAUCAGCCACACUGGGACUGCGACACGGCCCAGACUCCUACGGGAGGCAGCAGUGGGGAAUAUUGGGCAAUGGGCGAAAGCCUGACCCAGCCACGCCGCGUGAGUGAUGAAGGCCUUCGGGUCGUAAAGCUCUGUGGGGAGGGACGAAUAAGCCCGGUGCUAAUAUCACCGGGCCCUGACGGUACCUCCUUAGCAAGCACCGGCUAACAUGUGCCAGCAGCCGCGGUA
rnacentral:rRNA from 1 species